rnacentral:rRNA from 1 species
GGCUCAGAUUGAACGCUGGCGGCAUGCCUUACACAUGCAAGUCGAACGGCAGCACGGACUUCGGUCUGGUGGCGAGUGGCGAACGGGUGAGUAAUGUAUCGGAACGUACCUUCAGUGGGGAUAACGUAGCGAAAGUUACGCUAAUACCGCAUAUUCUGUGAGCAGGAAAGCAGGGGAUCGCAAGACCUUGCGCUGAUUGAGCGGCCGAUAUCAGAUUAGCUAGUUGGUGAGGUAAAGGCUCACCAAGGCGACGAUCUGUAGCGGGUCUGAGAGGAUGAUCCGCCACACUGGAACUGAGACACGGUCCAGACUCCUACGGGAGGCAGCAGUGGGGAAUUUUGGACAAUGGGGGCAACCCUGAUCCAGCCAUGCCGCGUGAGUGAAGAAGGCCUUCGGGUUGUAAAGCUCUUUCGGCCGGGAAGAAAUCGCAUGGGCUAAUACCCUGUGCGGAUGACGGUACCGGCAUAAGAAGCACCGGCUAACUACGUG